GGGUUAGGAGUAGGGUUAGGGUAGGGUUAGGAGCAGGGUUAGGGUUGGUCCUAACCCUACCCUACCCCUAACCCUACUCCUAACCAUACCCUAACCCUACCCUAGCCCUACUCCUAACCCUACCCCAGCCCCAAUCCUACCCCUACCC